UAUUAAGUAAUAUAUAAAUUAAUAUAAUUAAUUUCGAUUUAAUUUAAGAUUAAAAUAAUCCUUAAUUU
rnacentral:tRNA from 1 species